rnacentral:rRNA from 1 species
GACGAACGCUGGCGGCGUGCUUAACACAUGCAAGUCGAGCGGUAAGGCCCUUCGGGGUACACGAGCGGCGAACGGGUGAGUAACACGUGGGUGAUCUGCCUUGCACUCUGGGAUAAGCCUGGGAAACUGGGUCUAAUACCGGAUAUGACCGCGAAUCGCAUGGUUUGUGGUGGAAAGAUUUAUCGGUGCGAGAUGGGCCCGCGGCCUAUCAGCUUGUUGGUGGGGUAAUGGCCUACCAAGGCGACGACGGGUAGCCGACCUGAGAGGGUGACCGGCCACACUGGGACUGAGACACGGCCCAGACUCCUACGGGAGGCAGCAGUGGGGAAUAUUGCACAAUGGGCGAAAGCCUGAUGCAGCGACGCCGCGUGAGGGAUGACGGCCUUCGGGUUGUAAACCUCUUUCGACAGGGACGAAGCGCAAGUGACGGUACCUGUAGAAGAAGCACCGGCCAACUACGUGCCAGCCGCCGCCGUAACAC